rnacentral:rRNA from 1 species
GACGAACGCUGGCGGCGUGCUUAACACAUGCAAGUCGAACGGAAAGGCCCUGCUUUUGUGGGGUGCUCGAGUGGCGAACGGGUGAGUAACACGUGAGUAACCUGCCCUUGACUUUGAGAUAACUUCAGGAAACUGGGGCUAAUACCGGAUAGGAGCUCCUGCUGCAUGGUGGGGGUUGGAAAGUUUCGGCGGUUGGGGAUGGACUCGCGGCUUAUCAGCUUGUUGGUGGGGUAGUGGCUUACCAAGGCUUUGACGGGUAGCCGGCCUGAGAGGGUGACCGGCCACAUUGCGACUGAGAUACGGCCCAGACUCCUACGGGAGGCAGCAGUGGGGAAUAUUGCACAAUGGGCGGAAGCCUGAUGCAGCAACGCCGCGUGCGGGAUGACGGCCUUCGGGUUGUAAACCGCUUUCGCCUGUGACGAAGCGUGAGUGACGGUAAUGGGUAAAGAAGCACCGGCUAACUACGUG